rnacentral:rRNA from 1 species
AACGAACGCUGGCGGCGCGCCUAAUACAUGCAAGUCGAGCGAGAAGACGUAGCAAUACGUUUGUAAAGCGGCGAACGGGUGAGGAAUACAUGGGUAACCUACCCUCGAGUGGGGAAUAACUAGCCGAAAGGUUAGCUAAUACCGCGUACGCUCCUUGGACUUCGGUUCAGGGAGGAAAGCGAUACCGUGGGUAUCGCGCUCUUGGAUGGGCUCAUGUCCUAUCAGCUUGUUGGUGAGGUAACGGCUCACCAAGGCUUCGACGGGUAGCUGGUCUGAGAGGACGAUCAGCCACACUGGCACUGCGACACGGGCCAGACUCCUACGGGAGGCAGCAGUAAGGAAUAUUGCGCAAUGGGCGAAAGCCUGACGCAGCGACGCCGCGUGGGGGAGUGACGGCCUCGG